UGACUGUAGGUGGAAAGACUUACUAUCUCUUUCGGAGCAUUUUACGAGGUGCUGCAUGGUUGUCGUCAGCUCGUGCCGUGAGGUGUCGGGUUAAGUCCCAUAACGAGCGCAACCCCUACCUUUAGUUGCCAUCAGGUAAUGCUGGGGACUCUAAAGGAACUGCCUACGCAAGUAGUGAGGAAGGCGGGGAUGACGUCAAAUCAGCACGGCCCUUACGUCCAGGGCUACACACGUGCUACAAUGGCCGAUACAGAGGGCAGCUACCUGGUGACAGGAUGCAAAUCUCCAAAGUCGGUCUCAGUUCGGAUCGGAGUCUGCAACCCGACUCCGUGAAGUUGGAUUCGCUAGUAAUCGCGCAUCAGCCAUGGCGCGGUGAAUACGUUCCCGGGCCUU
rnacentral:rRNA from 1 species